rnacentral:rRNA from 1 species
UACGAGAGGCCCAAACGUUAUUCGGAAUUACUGGGCUUAAAGAGUUCGUAGGCGGCAUGAAAAGCAGGAUGUGAAAGCCCUCGGCUCAACCGAGGAAUUGCGCUCUGAACUGUCGUGCUUGAGGAACCUAGAGGUGAGCAGAACAGAUGGUGGAGCGGUGAAAUGCGUUGAUAUCAUCUGGAAUACCGGAGGCGAAGGCGGCUCACUGGGGGUUUUCUGACGCUGAGGAACGAAAGCCAGGGUAGCGAACGGG